rnacentral:rRNA from 1 species
GAUGAACGCUGGCGGCGUGCCUAAUACAUGCAAGUCGAGCGGUAAGGCCCUUUCGGGGGUACACGAGCGGCGAACGGGUGAGUAACACGUGAGCAACCUGCCCUUCUCUUUGGAAUAAGCGUUGGAAACGACGUCUAAUGCCGAAUAUGACCCCCUGUCGCAUGGUGGGGGGUGGAAAGCUCUGGCGGAGAAGGAUGGGCUCGCGGCCUAUCAGCUUGUUGGUGUGGGUAAUGGCCCACCAAGGCGACGACGGGUAGCCGGCCUGAGAGGGUGACCGGCCACACUGGGACUGAGACACGGCCCAGACUCCUACGGGAGGCAGCAGUGGGGAAUAUUGGACAAUGGGCGAAAGCCUGAUCCAGCAACGCCGCGUGAGGGAUGACGGCCUUCGGGUUGUAAACCUCUUUCAGCAGGGACGAAGCGAGAGUGACGGUACCUGCAGAAGAAGGACCGGCCAACUACGUGCCAGCCGCCGCCGUAA